GAUCCUGGCUCAGGAUGAACGCUGGCGGCGUGCUUAACACAUGCAAGUCGAACGAUGAAGCUCCAGCUUGCUGGGGUGGAUUAGUGGCGAACGGGUGAGUAACACGUGAGUAACCUGCCCUUGACUCUGGGAUAAGCCUUGGAAACGGGGUCUAAUACCGGAUAGGAGCAUUCACCGCAUGGUGGGUGUUGGAAAGAAUUUCGGUCUUGGAUGGACUCGCGGCCCAUCAGCUUGUUGGUGAGGUAAUGGCUCACCAAGGCGACGACGGGUAGCCGGCCUGAGAGGGUGACCGGCCACACUGGGACUGAGACACGGCCCAGACUCCUACGGGAGGCAGCAGUGGGGAAUAUUGCACAAUGGGCGCAAGCCUGAUGCAGCGACGCCGCGUGAGGGAUGACGGCCUUCGGGUUGUAAACCUCUUUCAGUAGGGAAGAAGCGAAAGUGACGGUACCUGCAGAAGAAGCACCGGCUAACUACGUGCCAGCAGCCGCGGUAAUACGUAGGGUGCGAGCGUUAUCCGGAAUUAUUGGGCGUAAAGAGCUCGUAGGCGGUUUGUCGCGUCUGCCGUGAAAGUCCGGGGCUUAACUCCGGAUCUGCGGUGGGUACGGGCAGACUAGAGUGCAGUAGGGGAGACUGGAAUUCCUGGUGUAGCGGUGGAAUGCGCAGAUAUCAGGAGGAACACCGAUGGCGAAGGCAGGUCUCUGGGCUGUAACUGACGCUGAGGAGCGAAAGCAUGGGGAGCGAACAGGAUUAGAUACCCUGGUAGUCCAUGCCGUAAACGUUUGGCACUAGGUGUGGGGGCCAUUCCACGGUUUCCGCGCCGCAGCUAACGCAUUAAGU
rnacentral:rRNA from 1 species